AGAACACUGGAACAGAAACAAGAAUACCUGAGAUGGAGACUCACCUCUUACCAUCAACCUAGUGUUGACUUUGGUCCAUCUUUUCUCCUGGGGUAGUAGAAAGAUCAAGAUCAUCAGAGAACCUAGGGUGCAAUAUCAGCUCUCUAGUACCAAACACGGUUCAUUAACCUCUCGGAACCUCAGGUGUCUUGGGGCAUAGUUCAUGUCUCCUGGCCCAUCUCACAGGAUUAUCAGGAGGAUGAAUGAGACAAGUGAGUGCAUUUUGUAAAUUGUAAAGUGCUAAAUAAAUGCAAGGUAAUGCAAUAUUGUG
rnacentral:lncRNA from 1 species